GGCGAGCGGGCUACCUGCAGUCGAGCGGUAGCACAGAGAAGCUUGCUUCUUGGGUGACGAGCGGCGGACGGGUGAGUAAUGCAUAGGAAUCUGCCCGAUAGUGGGGGAUAACCUGGGGAAACCCAGGCUAAUACCGCAUACGUCCUACGGGAGAAAGGGGGCUUCGGCUCCCGCUAUUGGAUGAGCCUAUGUCGGAUUAGCUAGUUGGUGAGGUAAAGGCUCACCAAGGCGACGAUCCGUAGCUGGUCUGAGAGGAUGAUCAGCCACAUCGGGACUGAGACACGGCCCGAACUCCUACGGGAGGCAGCAGUGGGGAAUAUUGGACAAUGGGCGCAAGCCUGAUCCAGCCAUGCCGCGUGUGUGAAGAAGGCCUUCGGGUUGUAAAGCACUUUCAGCGAGGAAGAACGCCUAGCGGUUAAUACCCGCUAGGAAAGACAUCACUCGCAGAAGAAGCACCGGCUAACUCCGUGCCAGCAGCCGCGGUAAUACGGAGGGUGCAAGCGUUAAUCGGAAUUACUGGGCGUAAAGCGCGCGUAGGUGGCUUGAUAAGCCGGUUGUGAAAGCCCCGGGCUCAACCUGGGAACGGCAUCCGGAACUGUCAAGCUAGAGUGCAGGAGAGGAAGGUAGAAUUCCCGGUGUAGCGGUGAAAUGCGUAGAGAUCGGGAGGAAUACCAGUGGCGAAGGCGGCCUUCUGGACUGACACUGACACUGAGGUGCGAAAGCGUGGGUAGCAAACAGGAUUAGAUACCCUGGUAGUCCACGCCGUAAACGAUGUCGACCAGCCGUUGGGUGCCUAGCGCACUUUGUGGCGAAGUUAACGCGAUAAGUCGACCGCCUGGGGAGUAC
rnacentral:rRNA from 1 species